UACGGGGGGGGCAAGCGUUGUUCGGAAUUACUGGGCGUAAAGGGCUCGUAGGUGGCCAACUAAGUCAGACGUGAAAUCCCUCAGCUUAACUGGGGAACUGCGUCUGAUACUGGAUGGCUUGAGUUUGGGAGAGGGAUGCGGAAUUCCAGGUGUAGCGGUGAAAUGCGUAGAUAUCAGGAGGAACACCAAUGGCGAAGGCAGCACUCUGGGACGUGACUGACGCUGAGACGCGAAAGCGUGGGGAGCAAACAGG
rnacentral:rRNA from 1 species